CAGAAGUUUAAUAAAUUUAACAAAUUACACUCAAAUAUCCAGGCAAUACUUGUCAGCCAUCCGAAAAACUCUAGUUCGAGGCCAUGGCAACAGGCAAUAGGGCCGCGACUGGGCCCGACCCUUGCGAUGGACAUGGACAAUUAAUCACAAAAAUACUAGGCCCAUAAAUUGUGAAAAAUGAAUCAAUGUGAAGCACAGACAGGCAACGUGGCUAAUGAAUGAAAAAGCCGACAAAGUGAAGUGAAAUGAAGUGUUGCGAAUCUGACGCCAAAUGCCAAUCCUCCCAAGGCAGAAGCCAUUGCCCAAUUGGGUGGCCUCCCUGUGGGAUCUGGAGGUCAAUUGGAUGGCAUUUCAAACGCAGCCACAGAAGUCAUCAAUCAGUGGUUAUUUUCCUAUGGGCACACCGUGCGUAUGCGUAAUGUCAGCAAUUGUCGUUUAAUGAAAGAAACAACGACAACCCCUGCAACAUUCUGCAUCCAUUUGGAGUGGCCUUGCCGUCGUCAUUCCGUUGGAAUUAAUGACUGAGCAAGUCGCACCACACACACUGUGGCAGACCCUCGUUCCGUUAUUGCAAGUCGAUAGUUCAGCGAGAAAAAAAACUGGUUACUGCACUGCACCACAUACUACCAGACCAGGAAACCGCCGGGCCCAUGUCUGUCCCCCCGGCUCCCACUGCUGCUGCCUCUCCAACUAUCUAUCUGGGUUUCAAGUGCCGCCGCCCAUGACGCAGGGCAGUGACAGUGCCAGUCCCAGUACCAGUACCAGUCUUCAAGUUUUUCCCAUGGAUUGAAUGGGAGAGAUAAAGAUAGAGAAGGGGAGAGAGGAGGCAAUUGGGCGUGCACCUGAACUUGUGCGGCUGCGUAGACGCACUGGCUCGCUCAAGGCCGAUGGAGGUCGCAAAAUAUAGUGGUACUUGGUGAUAAAAUAUUCCAUGAACUUGCCAUACUCUUGAGAGUUAUUUGCUAAAAAACUUCGUUUAUGCAGACAAAUAGAUUCAACUCUUCACGGAACUCCCGGAAAAAAACACAUUAAAUCUACUCAAAUUUCCAUAUUUAUUGCGUUGAAAACCAUCUUCAACGAAGCAUAUAAAGUAGUCCCAGCUUACACAGCAGUGAUGGAAGGAGAACUGAAGCAAAGAGGACUGCGCAGAAGAGAAGCAAACAGGAGUCCACUUAAUUCAGCUACCAUAUUCCCAUCCAUUUUAACAUUUCCAACAAAAUAACGCCCUACUUAAGGCUGUACAAUGAGUAUGUCUUCCACUUGUACAAGUAUUUCACGAGCUCCGGCAAAACGUGGGCAGCAAAGGCAGCAGCUGUUCAGAAGUCAGAAAUAACAAAGCUCACAAAUUUACAGGAAAUUCUUUGGUCAUGACAACGAGAGCAGAGCUCAGACCAGCGCCCAGACAAGUUUCAUAGCUACACAAAAAACAAAACAAAAAAAACCUUCAUUUUGCUCUGCAAAAUUAUAUAAAUACUGCAAAAAAUAUACAAAUAUUUGCUUUGUGUGUGUUAUAAUAGGUGCAGUCUGGAGUUGAUUCUGCGCUGGUACUGGCAGCAAAACGUUUUACAUUUUUGAUUUGCCAAAGAGUUACAGUGGAAUGGAAAUUAAAUUCAAAUUUAAUUCGUUUAACUGAAGAGUUUGUAUUCGUGAGCAAAAACAGCAAACAAAAUAAUGGAAAAUAUGCAAUUAAAUUAAUAUCUCUUGCAAGCCAAUAUUAUUAAGUAGCGUAAUCUAUUAGGCUUGUACUUAUGAUCUUUGAUGCUAUUACCAUUUGAAGAUUUCAACGAUUGAUUGGAAUACACGGAAACCAAAUGAACCUCUAUUAACUCAAUUUCUUCCCAAUUAUCUGUGAAC